CCUACGGGAGGCCGCAGUGGGGAAUAUUGGGCAAUGGAGGCAACUCUGACCCAGCAACGCCGCGUGAGUGAUGAAGGUCCUCGGAUUGUAAAACUCUUUAAGUGGGGACGAAGAAAGUGACUGUACCCACAGAUUAAGCCUCGGCUAACUACGUGACAGCAGCCGCGGUAAUACGUAGGAGGCAAGCGUUAUCCGGAAUGACUGGGCGUAAAGGGUGCGUAGGUGGUUGGGCAAGUUAGUAGCGUAAUUCCGGGGCUGAACUUCGGAACUACUACUAAAACUGCUGGGCUUGAGUGAGGGAGGGGGAUAUGGAAUUCCUAGUGUAGCGGUGGAAUGCGUAGAUAUGAGGAAGAACACCAGUGGCGAAGGCGAUAUGCUGGACUGUAACUGACGCUGAGGCACGAAAGCGUGGGGAGCAAACAGGAUUAGAUACCCUGGUAGUC
rnacentral:rRNA from 1 species